UCAUUAAUAACGACCUCGAUUGUAACGAC
rnacentral:piRNA from 1 species